rnacentral:rRNA from 1 species
AGUGAACGCUGGCGGUAGGCCUAACACAUGCAAGUCGAACGGCAGCACAGUAAGAGCUUGCUCUUACGGGUGGCGAGUGGCGGACGGGUGAGGAAUACAUCGGAAUCUACUUUUUCGUGGGGGAUAACGUAGGGAAACUUACGCUAAUACCGCAUACGACCUACGGGUGAAAGCAGGGGGUCUUCGGACCUUGCGCGAUUGAAUGAGCCGAUGUCGGAUUAGCUAGUUGGCGGGGUAAAGGCCCACCAAGGCGACGAUCCGUAGCUGGUCUGAGAGGAUGAUCAGCCACACUGGAACUGAGACACGGUCCAGACUCCUACGGGAGGCAGCAGUGGGGAAUAUUGGACAAUGGGCGCAAGCCUGAUCCAGCCAUACCGCGUGGGUGAAGAAGGCCUUCGGGUUGCAAAGCCCUUUUGUUGGGAAAGAAAAGCAGCAGGUUAAUACCCCGCUGUUCUGACGGUACCCAAAGAAUAAGCACCGGCUAACUUCGUG